rnacentral:lncRNA from 1 species
CUUCAUGCUGCAAGGAAGGACCAGGUUUCAUCAGCCUUGCGUUCAGAGGCUGGUAUGUUUCUAUCCGGAACCAGAUGGAAGCGGAAGAGGAGCCUUUGAGAACCUACACGCAGGAGAAAUAGUAACACAGCAGUCAACUUGCCCUUGUGUCAAGGGCAGCUAAGACUGUGUUAGCAAAAAUAAGAAAGACUCUGCUGGGCCAAGUGCUAUGCCCUAGCUCCAUGCCUCCACUACCGAGCAACCCCCUGGCCGACAGCACUUCACUCCUGUCCGAGGGCUCACUGUAGCAUCGACAGGACAAUGGCCCUGGGCUGCUGGCAGGUUGCAGGCAGGUGGAGAGAUGAUAGGCUGUACAUUCUCUGUCCUCGGAGGUUUUCAAGACUGGAAAAAGCUGGAAGCAAUUUGGUCAGAUUUUCAGCCAACCCUGAUUUGAACAAGAGGUUGAUCCACAAACCUCCAGAGGUGCCUUCCAACUGGAACUAUGCUGUGCCCAUGGCAGCAUAAGGAAGAUGAGGUGUUGUUGCCGAUGGAUAACAGAACAGCAGCUUCUGGCCUUUAUUUCCUUCAGCCGGAGCAAAAUGUUUGAUGACUACUGAAGACAAGCUCUUCCAUGCUUCACCAGAAAGAGUCAUUGGUUAUGGCUACAGAGACAGCUCAACCUCAUAGUGCAAGACUUAUCCACAUGCAUUUCUAGUUAGCUUAAACUAUGAGCUCCUGAGCCAAUGAGUGCUGACAUUUUGAAUUGCACUGCAUGGACAUAAAAUUUAGCCAGGCAUUUAAGUAAUGAGCAGAAAUUUCUCUUAAUCUUGUCAUAUUCCCUUGAAGGCAGUCAAAAAAUACAAGUAUAAACUAUUCCUAAUGCCUGUCAUGCCUGCUUUUGUAAUGCCUCACCUCAUGAAAAACCCAAACACAUAACUUUGUUUCCAGAGAUUUUCUAGAGUUCUGCUGACUGUUUUUCAUUCUUUCCGUGUCUAUCUUUAUAUUUACUGGCAACUAUUUUCUCUUCAUUUAUGCAUAUAAAUCAUGUAAUAACACCAAGGUUAUGCACUCUCAAGGCUACUCUUCCACAGACUCUGAGUGUUUUUUGACAAUGAACAGUGGCUAAAGCUGAGAAGAGACACAGGGAGCCUGCUGCCCUAAUAAAGCUGUCUGACCUCUCA